UUAGAAGUAUUCUUGCACUGACAGGGCGCAGGUUGUGUCUGUGUCGUUGACGCAAGUGCUAAGUGCAAUUGAGAGGGAAAAACUUACUCCGAUUAUCCUGUAGACAAAUACACAUUUACUUAAUUAGGGAAACGCAAUCUACACCAAAGUGCGGUCGCCAUUCGCGAAGCCACAAUUUCCUAUUUUGUGUUAAAAAUUAAAAAGUAAAAAUAACACUUUUUAACCAGUCAAAGCCCACUCAGUGUGAUAAUUUCGGUACUUAAUUACUAACAUACACACAUACUUGUGUAUGUAGAGUCGCGUACUCGUACAUAAGUGAUCAAGUGAGCGGCAAGGCGUUUAAUUAACCGACUAAAUAAUACGAGCAAUCAAAGCGAUACAGUUCCUUAGUCUCAGUACAAUUGAAAUGACAAUGCUAAGGACAUUCGAUCUAAUAAUCCUCCUCUGCUGCCUCGCAGCAUUGCCUCAACUACGGGCGAGGAGUCUAAUCGAAUUCGGUACGGAUAGCGAGAAUGCGAUUGUUAAGAACGUCGAGACCUACAACUUUACCUCGUGCCAAAUCUACUGCUAUGGCCCCCUUUUGGACACUGUACAAAUGGCGAAGCUUUAUCCGGACUCGAAGACGUUUGUGGAUAUGAAACUGAAAGUUUCGCCUGAAAAAACUAUGGAGGACUUUGAAGCUUUUAUGACAUCGAAGAAUAAUAAGCCCAGCAAAGAUGAAAUUCAAGAAUUUGUUGACGCUCACUUUGGUGAAAAGGGCACCGAGUUGGAUGUGUGGACGCCAACAGAUUGGAUUGAGCAUCCCAGUUUUCUUGAUCUCGUCCGCGAUCCGGAUCUUAAGCAAUGGGGCGCUGAUCUGAAUAACAUCUGGAAGGAACUGGGUCGUAAAAUGAAAGAUGAUGUUCACAAGAAUCCCAAUUACUACUCUAUCAUACCCGUACCCAAUCCUGUUAUCGUGCCAGGUGGUCGUUUCAUUGAAUUCUACUACUGGGACUCCUACUGGAUCAUUCGUGGUUUGCUCUACAGCGAGAUGAGGGACACAGCACGUGGCAUGAUCGAGAACUUUUUGUCCAUUGUUCAACGCAUUGGAUUCAUACCAAAUGGUGGUCGAGUCUACUACUGGGGUCGCUCCCAGCCUCCGCUCUUGACGGCAAUGGUGAAGAGCUAUGUUGACUUCACAAAGGACGAUCUGUUUGCCAUCAAUGCUUUGGAGGUGCUGGAGCAUGAGUUUGAGUAUUUCAUUAACAAUCACACCGUGCAGGCUAAGGGUCAUAACCUGGUCGCAUACCGCGAUUCAUCAACUGGACCGCGUCCCGAAUCCUACAGUGAGGAUGUAGAAACAUCUCAGAGCUUUGCCACACAGGAGGCUAAGGAAGAUCACUACAGCGAACUGAAGUCAGCUGCUGAGUCAGGCAUGGACUUCAGCUCCCGCUGGUACAUCAACGAGAAUGGCACCAAUGUUGGAAACCUAACAGAUGCCAAGACCCGUUCCAUUGUGCCCGUCGAGCUGAAUGCCAUCCUAUACUGGAACGCCAAGAUUAUUGCCGAAUUCCACUCGAAGGCCGGCAACAUCGAGAAGAUGAUGGAGUACGAGACCAAGGCACAAAAGAUUCAAGAGGCAAUUCAAGCGGUGCUGUGGAACGAAGAAGCCGGCUGCUGGCUGGACUAUGAUUUGAUCAACGAUAAACCACGCAACUACUUCGUUCCAACCAAUCUGUCACCAUUGUGGGUUAAGGCAUACAAUAUCUCCGAUUCGGAGAAAAUCUCUGAGAAAGUUCUAAACUAUGUUGAGAAGAACAAACUGGACACAUUCCCGGGUGGCGUGCCGAAUACGCUGUCUCAGACGGGUGAGCAGUGGGACUUCCCCAAUGUGUGGGCCCCCAUGCAAUACAUUCUUGUCGAGGGUCUAGAUAAUUUGGGAACACCGGAGGCAAAGGAACUGUCCAAGACAUGGGGCCAACGUUGGGUCAAGUCCAACUUUGAGGCAUAUCGCGAGACUCGCGCCAUGUUUGAAAAGUACGAUGCGGAAAAGUUUGGAGGACAUGGCGGCGGUGGAGAGUACGGAGUGCAGAAGGGCUUUGGCUGGACCAAUGGCGUUAUUAUUGAAUGGCUGGCCAAAUACGGACGUCACAUCUCCCUGAGCAACACGGGCGCUUCAGGUGAUGAGGAGCAAUAGAAUGGCCCAACUAUGCCUUGAACCAUCGACGCUAUCAUCAUUGAAUAUACAUUAAAUCCGAGCAUCAGUCCAAUCUUACCUUGGGCUGAUCUCACACAAAUCCAUUCAUACAUACUUAGAUUUAAAUCGAAGCUCACCGAGAUGCUCAAUUAUUUAGAUUUACGUAUUUAUAAGGACUGCUCAAAGUAAAACCAAAAUCAUCACGUCAGCGCGUUAACAUUAAAUAGUCUAAGCACUGUCGCUUUCCCUGUCACUCCUACUGUCGCGCUCUCUAUCUUACUGUCUUUAACCUACGUCUCUCUCUACGCAUCGUCAACAACAAUCAAUGAUGUCUUCGACUUAGAACUAAGAACUACAACUUUCAACUACUUAAGUAUCUACUCUCAGCAAUCACCAAGGACUAACACUAAAUGAUUGAUGUUCCGGAACUGAUCGCACACACACACAUGUAUCUAUAUAUAUUUCGCUUAUCAUUUGCCUUCAACUUUGCCUUCGCUCCGCCUCGUCUCGUCUUUCGCCACGCAUAUGUGUCUGUUCUAUCAAGUUUCUAAGAGUGUCACAUCUAAAUAUGCCGUCAAAAUUUUUACUUCGGAGCAGCCGACUAAUAACUGUGCUGGGAGCGACCGCUGUGGCGUUAGUCGGAGCAUUCGCCGGACGAUUCAUCUGGUGAGAAAUUUAAUGCGAGGCAACUGUUAUGGAAAUUGUGAUUCCCCCUUCCGUGUGCAUGUCAGUGUGUGUGUUUAUAGUUCCAAUUACAUGAUAAACCUUUUCAGUUUUUGUUUUCUUGAAUGCACGGAGAUUGCAGUAUUAGUUAUCAAUUUGCAAUUGACUUAUUGUUAUCAGAAUUUGAAUUUGUAAUAUAUUAAACAAAUACUUAGUUAAA